AAAAUGGGCUUCAGAGUCUGAUGGAUCUGGGUGACUGGGCAAGUUCUUUAGCUUGUCAAACCUUCAUUUCUCUAAUUUAUAACAUAAGGACAGUACCUUCUUCCUGUCAAGGUUGAGGCAAGCAUUAGUGAGAAACGUCUCAAGGCCUGGUUCACAGUCAAAAAAGAGAGAAAACAUCACUGUUCUCUUCAGCAGAACUUUUGUCAGUGUGAUCGAGAAUUGUCUCAAGUGACAAGUGAGCUGACCAGGGAACCCUGGGUGGCAGGUACUAUUGGCACCAUUUUCCAGAUAAAGAAAAUGAAGUUCUAAGCAGUCAAAUGACAUGUCAAGAUCACCCAACUGAGACUACUGCCCUUCAUUGAUUGAUGUCCGGUGCCUGGAAAGCCAUGGUUUUAUGCAGUUUGUGGAUUUUUUAUUUUUUUUCUUUAUUUGAAAUGGGAAGGAUCACAUUACAUCGAACAGAAACUGUUUUACCUUGCUUGCAAGGAGGUGGAGGCCUCCUUGCCCCCAAGUGUGGUGCCACUUCCGGGUUCCUUGAGCACUUCCAGGUUAUCAGCCCAGCUCUCCUCCAGUUUCUGGGGCUGCUGAAGAAGCUGUUGGGGAAAUUCUGGAGGCUGGGAAGUCCAAGAUCAAAGUGCCAGCAGAUCAGUAACUGGACCUGGAGUCAGCCUGUGAACCACCUUUUUUGGUAUUUCACAUGGCAGCAAUCUCCUUAGCCCUGUGUUUUUGGAAUCCUUUCUGGAAAAUGCAAGAGGAAGAGGAGACGAUGAUUUAAGUGUCAUUUCAAUCUUUGUGCAAGCCCCCUACCCAUCUCUUAGAACUUCUUGAAGCUGUUUGCUUUUGUCUUAUGUAGCUAACAGUACUUCUUUGGACUCUGUGGCCUAAGGCCUCUUUUUGAUGCUUAUUUUAACCAAAUUUUACCUAUCUAAUGACUUGGUCCCUACCUAAAGUCUUAGUCUUUUUCUAGGCUCUAAAGCCAAUGCAGUCUUUGACUGGUUUAGCUUAAGUUUCUCAAAAUAAGGUCUUUUUGUUGCCAUUUGAGAUCUGACUCUGUG
rnacentral:lncRNA from 1 species